UACGUAGGGUGCGAGCGUUAAUCGGAAUUACUGGGCGUAAAGCGUGCGCAGGCGGCGGCUCAAGUCAGGUGUGAAAUCCCCGGGCUUAACCUGGGAAUUGCGCUUGAAACUAGGUCGCUAGAGUGUGGCAGAGGGGGGUGGAAUUCCACGUGUAGCAGUGAGAUGCGUAGAGAUGUGGAGGAACACCGAUGGCGAAGGCAGCCCCCUGGGUCAACACUGACGCUCAUGCACGAAAGCGUGGGGAGCAAACAGG
rnacentral:rRNA from 1 species